rnacentral:rRNA from 1 species
CCUACGGGAGGCUGCAGUGAGGAAUAUUGGUCAAUGGGCGGAAGCCUGAACCAGCCAAGUAGCGUGCAGGAUGACGGCCCUACGGGUUGUAAACUGCUUUUAUCCGGGAAUAACGCGCCUUACGUGUAGGGCUUUGCAUGUACCGUAUGAAUAAGGACCGGCUAAUUCCGUGCCAGCAGCCGCGGUAAUACGGAGGGUCCGGGCGUUAUCCGGAUUUAUUGGGUUUAAAGGGAGCGUAGGCCGCAUGUCAAGCCUGCUGUGAAAUGUCCGGGCUCAACCCGGGCCUUGCGGGGGGAACUGGCGUGCUGGAGUCAGCGGAAAGCAGGCGGAAUUCGUGGUGUAGCGGUGAAAUGCUUAGAUAUGACGAAGAACCCCGAUUGCGAAGGCAGCUUGCUGCAGCGGAACUGACGCUGAUGCUCGAAAGCGCGGGUAUCGAACAGGAUUAGAUACCCCAGUAGUC